rnacentral:lncRNA from 1 species
GGUACGCCAGACUCGGAAUGGUGCGAGACUUUGCGAGGCUCCUCCGUGUGCCAAAAAUAGGCCACGGGCACAGCCGCGCCCAAAAAUAACCGCCCGAAGGCUUGGGCGCCAAGUUCGUCCAGCGGAAAAAGGCCACAAAAACGGGUGGGCUCUAGCCUUGGGGGGUGGGGCUGGCCAACUACGUCCACCGGACUCGGAAUGGCGGGAGACUUUGCGAGGCGCCUCCGUAUGCCAAAAAUAGGCAGCGGGCACAGCCGCGCCCAAACAUAACCACCUGAAGGCCGGGGUGCCAAGUUCGUCCAACGGAAAAAGGCCACAAAAACGGGUGGGCUCUAGCCUUGGGGGGUGGGGCUUGCCAACUUCGUCCGCCGAACUCGGAAUGGCGCGAGACAUUGCGAGGCCGCACCGUGUGCCAAAAAUAUGCAGCGGGCACAGCCGCGCCUAAACAUAACCGCCCGAAGGCCGGGGAGCCAAGUUCGUCCAGCGGAAAAAGGCCACAAAAACGGGUGGGCUAUAGCCUUGGGGGGUGGGGCUGGCCAACUUCGUCCGCCGAACUUGGAAUGGCGCGACACUUUGCGAGGCACCUCCGUGUGCCAAAAAUAGGCCGCGGGCACAGCCGCGCCUAAACAUAACCGCCCGAAGGCCGGGGCGCCUAUUUCGUCCAGCGGAAAAACGCCACAAAAACGGGUGGGCUAUAGCCUUGGGGGGUGGGCUAUAGCCUUGGUGGGCGGGACUGGCCAACUUCGUCCGCCGGACUCGGAAUGGCACGAGACUUUGCGAGGCGCCUCCGUGUGCCAAAAAUAGGCCAUGGGCACAGCCGCGCCCAAACAUAACCGCCCGAAGGCCGGGGCGCCAAGUUCGUCCAGCGGAAAAAGGCCACAAAAACGGGUGGGCUAUAGCCUUGGUGGGUGGGGCUGGCCAACUUCGUCCGCCGGACUCGGAAUUCCGCGAGACUUUGCGAGGCGCCUCCGUGUGCCAAAAAUAGGCCGCGGACACAGCCGCGUCCAAAAAUAACUGCCCGAAGGCCGGGGCGCCAAGUUCGUCCAGCGGAAAAAGGACACAAAAACGGGUGGGCUAUAGCCUUGGGGGGUGGGGCUGGCCAACUUCGUCCGCCGGACUCGGAAUGCCACAAGACUUUGCGAGGGGCCUCCGUGUGCCAAAAACAGGCCGCGGGCAAAACCGUGCCCAAAAAUAACCGCCCGAAGGCUGGGGCGCCACGUUCGUCCGGCGGAAAAAGGCCACAAAAACGGGUGGGCUAUAGCCUUGGGGGGUGGGGCUGGCCACCUUCGUCCGCCGGACUCGGAAUGCAUCGAGACUUUAUGAGGGGCCUCCGUGUUCCAAAAAUAGGCCGCGGGCAAAGCCACGCCCAAAAAUAACCGCCCGAAGGUCGGGGCGCCAAGUUCGUCCCGCGGAAAGAGGCCACAAAAACGGGUGGGCUAUAGCCUUAGGGGGUGGGGCUAGCCAACUUCGUCCGCCGGACUCGGAAUGCAUCGAGACUUUGAGAGGGGCCUCCCUGUGCCAAAAAUAGGCCGCGCGCAAAACCGCGCCCAAAAAUAACCGCCCGAAGGCCGGGGCGCCAAGUUCGUCCAGCUGAAAAAGGCCACAAAAACGGGUGGGCUAUAGCCUUGGGGGGUGGGGUUGGCCAACUUCGUCCGCCGGACUCGGAAUGCCGCAAGACUUUGCGAGGGGCCUCCGUGUGCCAAAAAUAGGCUGCGGGUAAAGCCGCGCCCAAAAAUAACUGCCCGAAGGCCGGGGCGCCAAGUUCGUCCAGCUGAAAAAGGCCACAAAAACGGGUGGGCUAUAGCCUUGGGGGGUGGGGCUCGCCAACUUCGUCCGCCGGACUCGGAAUGCAUCGAGACUUUGAGAGGGGCCUCCCUGUGCCAAAAAUAGGCCGCGAGCAAAGCCGCGCCCAAAAAUAACCGCCGGAAGGCCGGGGCGCCAAGUUCGUCCAGCGGAAAAAGGCCACAAAAACGGGUGGGCUAUAGCCUUGGGGGGUGGGGUUGGCCAACUUCGUCCGCCGGACUCGGAAUGCCGCAAGACUUUGCGAGGGGCCUCCGUGUGCCAAAAAUAGGCCGCGGGUAAAGCCGCACCCAAAAAUAACAGCCCGAAGGCCUGGGUGCCAAGUUCGUCCAACUGAAAAAGGCCACAAAAACGGGUGGGCUAUAGCCUUGGGGGGUGGGGCUGGCCAACUUCGUCCGCCGGACUCGGAAUGGCGCGAGACAUUGCGAGGGGCCUCCCUGUGCCAAAAAUAGGCCGCACGCAAAACCGCGCCCAAAAAUAACCGCCUGAAGGCCGGGGCGCCAAGUUCGUCCAGCGGAAAGAGGCCACAAAAACAGGUGGGCUAUAGCCUUGGGGGGUGGGGAUGGCCAACUUCGUCCGCCGGACUCGGAAUGCCGCGAGACUUUGCGAGGGGCCUCCAUAUGCCAAAAAUAGGCCGCGACCAAAGCCGCACCCAAAAAUAACCGUCCGAAGGCCGGGGCGCCAAGUUCGUCCGCCGGACUUGGAAUGGCGCGAGACUUUGCGAGGGUCCUCCGUGUGCCAAAAACAGGCCGCGGGCAAAGCUGCGCCCAAAAAUAACCACCCGAAGGCCGGGGCGCCAAGUUCGUCCAGCGGAAAGAGGCCACAAAAACGGGUGGGCUAUAGCCUUGGGGGGUGGGGCUGGCCAACUUCGUCCGCCGGACUCGGAAUGGCGCGAGACUUUGCGAGGGGCCUCCCUGUGCCAAAAAUAGGCCGCGCACAAAACCGCGCCCAAAAAUAACUGCCCGAAGGCCGGGGCGCCAAGUUCGUCCAGCGGAAAGAGGCCACAAAAACGGGUGGGCUAUAGCCUUGGGGGGUGGGGAUGGCCAACUUCGUCCGGCGGACUCGGAAUGCCGCGAGACUUUGCGAGGGGCCUCCGUGUGCGAAAAAUAGGCCGCAGGCAAAGAUGCACCCAAAAAUAACCGCCCGAAGGCCGGGGCGCCAAGUUCGUCCUGCGGAAAAAGCCCACAAAAACGGGUGGGCUAUAGCCUUGGGGGGUGGGGCUGGCCAACUUCGUUCGCCGGACUCGGAAUGGCGCGAGACUUUGCGAGCGGCCUCCAUGUGCCAAACAUAUGCCGCGGGCACAGCCGUACCCAAAAAUAACCGCCCGAAGGCCGGGGCGCCAAGUUCGUCCAGCGCAAAAAGGCCACAAAAACGGGUGGGCUAUAGCCUUGGGGGGUGGGGCUGGCCAACUUCGUCCGCCGGACUCGGAAUGGUGUGAGACUUUGCGAGCAGCCUCCGUUUGCAAAAAAAAAACCGCGGGCACAAAAACUGCCCGAAGGCCGGGGCGCCAAGUUCGUCCAGCGGAAAAAGGCCACAAAAACGGGUGGGCUAUAGCCUUGGGGGGUGGGGCUGGCCAACUUCGUCCGCCUGACUCGGAAUGCCGGGAGACUUUGCGAGGGUCCUCCAUGUUCCAAAAAUAGCCCGCGGGUAAAGCCGCGCCCAAAAAUAACUGCCCGAAGGCCAGGGCGCCAAGUUCGUCCAGCGGAAAAAGGCCACAAAAACGGUUGGGCUAUAGCCUUGGGGGGUGGGGCUGGCCAACUUCGUCCGCCGGACUCGGAAUGCCGCGAGACUUUGCGAGGGGCCUCCGUGUGCAAAAAAUAGGCCGCGGACAAAACCGUGCCCAAAAAUAACUGCCCGAAGGCCGGGGCGCCAAGUUCGUCCAGCGGAAAAACGCCACAAAAACGGGUGGGCUAUAGCCUUGGGGGGUGGGGCUGGCCAACUUCGUCCGCCGGACUCGGAAUGCCGCGAGACUUUGCGAGGGGCCUCCAUGUGCCAAAAAUAGGCCGCAGGUAAAACCGCGCCCAAAAAAUAACCGCCCGAAGGCCGGGGCGCCAAGUUCGUCCGGCGGAAAAAGGCCACAAAAACGGGUGGCUAUAGCCUUGGGGGGUCGGGCUGGCCAACUUCGUCCGCCGGACUCGGAAUGCAUCGAGACUUUGUGAGGGGCCUCCGUGUGCCAAAAAUAGGCCGCGGGCAAAGCCACGCCCAAAAAUAACUGCCCGAAGGCCGGGGCGCCAAGUUCGUCCUGCGGAAAAAGGCCACAAAAACGGGUGGGCUAUAGCCUUGGGGGUUGGCGCUGGCCAACUUCGUCCGCCGGACUCGGAAUGCCACGAGACUUUGCGAGGGGCCUCCGUGUGCCAAAAAUAGGCCGCGGGCAAAGCCGCGCCCAAAAAUAACCGCCCGAAGGCCGGGGCGCCAAGUUCGUCCAGCGGAAAGAGGCCACCAAAACGGGUGGGCUAUAGCCUUGGGGGGUGGGGCUGGCCAACUUCGUCCGCCGGACUCGGAAAGGAGCGAGACUUUCCGAGGGGCCACCCUGUGCCAAAAAUAUGCCGCGCGCUAAACCGCGCCUAAAAAUAACCGCCCGAAGGCCGGGGCGCCAACUUCGUCCAGCGGAAAGAGGCCACAAAAACGGGUGGGCUAUAGCCUUGGGGGGUGGGGCUGGCCAACUUCGUCCACCGGACUCGGAAUGCCGCGAGACUUUGCGAGGGGCCUCCCUGUGCCAAAAAUAGGCCGUGCGCAAAACCCAGCCCGAAGGCCGGGCCGCCAAGUUCGUCCAGCGGAAAGAGGCCACAAAAACGGGUGGGUUAUAGCCUUGGGGGGUGGGGAUGGCCAACUUCGUCCGCCGGACUCGGAAUGCCGCGAGACUUUGUGAGGGUCCUCCAUGUGCCAAAAAUAGGCCGCGGGCAAAGCCGUGCCCAAAAAUAACCGCCCGAAGGCCGGGCCGCCAGGUUCGUCCAGCGAAAAAAGGCCACAAAAACGGGUGGGUGAUAGCCUUAGUGGGUGGGGCUGGCCAACUUCGUCCCCCGGACUUGGAAUGGCGCGAGACUUUGCGAGGGGCCUCCGUGUACCAAAAAUAGGCUGCGGGCAAUGCCGCGCCCAAAAAUAACCGCCCGAAGGCCGGGGCGCCAGGUUCGUCCAGCGGAAAAAGGCCACAAAAACGGGUGGGCUAUUGCCUUGGGGGGUGGGAAUGGCCAACUUCGUCCGCCGGACUCGAAAUGCCGCAAGAUUUUGCAAGGGGCCUCCGUGUGCCAAAAAUAGGCCGGGGCAAUGCCGCGCCCAAAAAUAACCGCCCGAAGGCCGGGGCGCCAGGUUCGUCCAGCGGAAAAAGGCCACAAAAACGGGUGGGCUAUUGCCUUGGGGGGUGGGGCUAGCCCACUUCGUCCGACGGACUCGGAAUGCAGCGAGACUUUGUGAGGAACCUCCGUGUGCCAAAAAUAGGCCGCGGUCAAUGCCGCGCCCAAAAAUAACCGCCCGAAGGCCGGGGUGCCAAGUUUGUCCAGCGGAAAAUGGUCACAAAAACGGGUGGGCUAUAGCCUUGGGGGGUGGGGCUGCCCUACUUCGUCCGCCGGAUUCUGAAUGCCGUGAGACUUUGCGAGGGGCCUACAUGUGCCAAAAAUAUGCCGUGGGCAAAGCUGAGCCCAAAAAUAACCGCCCGAAGGCCGGGGCGCCAAGUUCGUCCAGCGGAAAAAGGCCACAAAAACGGGUGGGCUAUAUCCUUGGGGGGUGGGGCUGGCCAACUUCGUCCGCCGGACUCGGAAUGCCGCGAGACUUUGCGAGGGGCCUCCCUGUUCCAAAAAUAGGCCGCGCGCAAAACCGCGGCCAAAAAUAGCCACCCGAUGGCCGGGGCGCCAAGUUCGUCCAGCGGAAAGAGGCCACAAAAACGGGUGGGCUAUAGCCUUGGGGGGUGGGGAUGGCCAACUUCGUCCGCCGGACACGGAAUGCCGCGAGACUUUGCGAGGGGCCUCCGUGUGCGAAAAAUAGGCCGCGGGCAAAGCCGCACCCAAAAAUAACCGCCCGAAGGCCGGGGUGCCAAGUUCGUCCAGCGGAAAAAGUCCAGAAAAACGGGUGGGCUAUAGCCUUUGGGGGUGGGGCUGGCCCACUUCGUCCGCCGGACUCGGAAUGCCGCGAGACUUUGCGAGAGUCCUCCGUGUGCCAAAAAUAGGCCGUGGACAAAGCNNNNNNNNNNNNNNNNNNNNNNNNNNNNNNNNNNNNNNNNNNNNNNNNNNNNNNNNNNNNNNNNNNNNNNNNNNNNNNNNNNNNNNNNNNNNNNNNNNNNGAAGGCCGGUGCGCCAGGUUCAUCCAGCGGAAAAUGGCCACAAAAAACGGGUGGGCGAUAGCCUUAGGGGGUGGGGCUGGGCCAACUUCGUCCCCCGGACUCGGAAUGGCGCGAGACUUGCGAGGGGCCUCCGUGUAGCAAAAAUAGGCCGCGGGCAAAGCCGACCCCAAAAAUAACCGCCCGAAGGCCGGGGCGAUAGGUUCGUCCAGCGGAAAAAGGCCACAAAAACGGGUGGGCUAUAGCCUUGAGGGGUGGGGCUGGCCAACUUCGUCCGCCAGACUCGGAAUGCCGUGAGACUUUGCGAGGGGCCUCCGUGUGCCAAAAAUAGGCCGCGGACAAAGCCGCGCCCAAAAAUAACCGCCCGAAGGCCGGGGGCCCAAGUUCGUCCAGCGGAAAGAGGCCACAAAAAAGGGUGGGCUAUAGCCUUGGGGGGUGAGGCUGGCCAACUUCGUCCGCCGGACUCGGAAUGGCGCGAGACUUUGCGAGGGGCCUCCCUGUGCCAAAAAUAUGCCGCUCGCAAAACCGCGCCCAAAAAUAACUGCCCGAAGGCCGGGGCGCCAAGUUCGUCCUGCGGAAAAAGGCCACAAAACGGGUGGGCUAUAGCCUUGGGGGGUGGGGCAGGCCAACUUCGUCCGCCGGAAUCGGAAUGCCCCGAGACUUUACGAGGGGACUCUGUGUGCCAAAAAUAGGCCGCGGGCAAUGACGCGCCCAAAAAUAACCUCCCGAAGGCCGGGGUGCGAAGUUCGUCCAGCAGAAAUAGGCCACAAAAACAGGUGGGCUAUAGCCAUGGGGGGUGGGGCUGGCCAACUUCGUCCGCCGGACUCGGAAUGCCGCGAGACUUUGCGAGUGGCCUCCGUGUGCUAAAAAUAGGCCGCGGACAAAGCCACACCCAAAAAUAACCGCCCGAAGGCCGGGGCGCCAAGUUCGUCCAGCGGAAAAAGGCCAAAAAAACGGGUGGGCUAUAGCCUUGGGGGGUGGGGCUGGCCAACUUCGUCCGCCGGACUCAGAAUGCCACGAGACUUUACGAGGGGCCUCCGUGUACCAAAAAUAGGCCACGUCCAAAGCCUCGCCCAAAAAUAACCGCCCGAAGGCCGGGGCGCCAAGUUCGUCCAGCGGAAAAAAGCCACAAAAACGGGUGGGAUAUAGCCUUGGGUGGUGGGGCUGGCCAACUUCGUCUGCCGGAUUCGGAAUGCCGGGAGACAUUGCGAGGGGCCUCCGUGUGCCAAAAAUAGGCUGCGGGCAAAGCCGCGCGCAAAAAUAACCGCCCGUAGGCCGGGGCGCCAAGUUCGUCCAGCAGAAAAAGGCCACAAAAACGGGUGGGCUAUGGCCUUGGGGGGUGGGGCAGGCCAACUUCGUCCGCCGGACUCGGAAUGCCGCGAGACUUUGAGAGGGGCCUCCGUGUACAAAAAAAAGGCCGCAGGCAAAGCCGCGCCCAAAAAUAACCGCCCAAAGGCCAGGGCGCCAAGUUCGGCCAGCGGAAAAAGGCCACAAAAACGGGUGGGCUAUAGCCUUGGGGGGUGGGGCUGGCCAACUUCAUCCGCCGGACUCGGAAUGCCGCGAGACUUUUCAAGGGGCCUUCGUGUGCCAAAAAUAGGCCGCGGACAAAGCCGCGCCCAAAAAUAACCGCCCGAAGGCCGGGGAGCCAAUUUCGGCCAGCCGAAAAAGGCCACCAAAAUGGGUGGGCUAUAGCCUUGGGGGGUGGGGCUGGCCAACUUCGUCCGCCAGACUCGGAAUACCGCGAGACUUUGCGAGGGGCCUCCAUGUGCCAAAAAUAGGCCGCGGGCAAAGCGACACCCAAAAAUAACCGCCCAAAGGCCGGGGCACCAAGUUCGUCCAGCGGAAAAAGGCCCACAAAACGGGUGGGCUAUUUCCUUGGGGGGUGGGGCUGGGCCACUUUCGUCGCCGGACUCGAAAUGCUGUGAGACUUUGCGAGGGGCGUCCGUGUNNNNNNNNNNNNNNNNNNNNNNNNNNNNNNNNNNNNNNNNNNNNNNNNNNNNNNNNNNNNNNNNNNNNNNNNNNNNNNNNNNNNNNNNNNNNNNNNNNNNNNNCGUCCGCCGGACUCGGAAUGCUGCGAAACUUUGCGAGGGGCCUCGGUGUGCCAAAAAUAGGCCGUGGGCAACGCCGCGCCCAAAAAUAACCGCCCGGUGGCCGGGGCGCCAAGUUCGUCCAGCGGAAAAAGGCCACAAAAACGGGUGGGCUAUAGCCUUGGGGGGUGGGGCUGGCCAACUUCGUCCACCGGACUUGGAAUGCCGCGAGACUUUGCGAGGGCCCUCCUUGUGCCAAAAAUAGGCCACGGGCAAAGCCGCGCCCAAAAAUAACAGCCCGAAGGCCGGGGCGCCAAGUUCGUCCUGCGGAAAAAGGCCACAAAACGGGUGGGCUAUAGCCUUGGGGGGUGGGGCAGGCCAAAUUUGUCCGCCGGACUCGGAAUGCCUCGAGACUUUGCGAGGGGCCUCCGUGUGCCGAAAAUAGGCCGCGGGCAAUGACGCGCCCAAAAAUAACCGCCCGAAGGCCAGGGUGCCAGGUUCGUCCAGCAGAAAAAGGCCACAAAAACGGGUGGGCUAUAGCCUUGGGGGGUGGGGUUGGCCAACUUCGUCCGCCGGACUCAGAAUGCCGCGAGACUUUACAAGGGGCCUCCGUGUACCAAAAAUAGGCCGCGGCCAAAGCCUCGCCCAAAAAUAACCGCCCGAAGGCCGGGGCGCCAAGUUCGUCCAGCGGAAAAAGGCCACAAAAACGGGUGGGCUAUAGCCUUGGGGGGUGGGGCUGGCCAACUUCGUCUGCCGGACUCGAAAUGCCGGGAGACAUUGCGAGGGGCCUCCGUGUGCCAAAAAUAGGCUGCGGGCAAAGCCGCGCGCAAAAAUAACCGCCCGUAGGCCGGGGCGCCAGGUUCGUCCAGCGGAAAAAGGCCACAAAAACGGGUGGGCUAUGGCCUUGGGGGGUGGGGCUGGCCAACUUCGUCCGCCGGACUCGGAAUGCCGCGAGACUUUGAGAGGGGCCUCCGUGUACCAAAAAUAGGCUGCGGGCAAAGCCGCGCCCAAAAAUAACCGCCCAAAGGCCAGGGCGCCAAGUUCGUCCAGCGGAAAAAGGCCACAAAAACAGGUGGGCUAUAGCCUUGGGGGGUGGGGCUGGCCAACUUCAUCCGCCGGACUCGGAAUGCCGUGAGACUGUGCGAGGGGCCUUCGUGUGCCAAAAAUAAGCCGCGGGCAAAGCCGCUCCCAAAAAUAACUGCCCCAAGGCCGGGGGGCCAAAUUCUCCCAGCGGAAAAAGGACACAAAAACGGGUGGGCUAUUUCCUUGGGGGGUGGGGCUGGCCAACUUCAUCCGCCGGACUCGGAAUGCCGCGAGACUUUGCGAGGGGCCUCCGUGUGCCAAAAUAGGCCACGGGCAAAACCGCGCCCAAAAAUAACCGCCCGAAGGCCGGGGCGCCUAGUUCGUCCAGCGGAAAAAGGCCACAAAAAUGGGUGGGCUAUAGCCUUGGCGGGUGGGGCUGGCCGACUUCGUCCGCCGGACUCGGAAUGCCGGGAGACUUUGCGAGGGGCCUCCGUGUGCCAAAAAUAGACUGCGGGCAAACCCGUGGCCAAAAAUAACCGCCCGAAGGCCGGGGCGCCAAGUUCGUCCAGCGGAAAAAGGCCACAAAAACGGGUGGGCUAUAGCCUUGGGGGCUGGGGCGGGCAAACUUCGUCCGCCGAACUCGGAAUGCCGCGAGACUUUGCGAGCGGCCUCCGUGUCCCAAAAAAAGGUCGCGGGCAAAGCCGCGCCCAAAAAUAAC